GGUGGUAUGGAUCAGGAGGUAGGGCAGGCGGGCUAAGAAUCAGAAGGUUCCUGGUUCAAUCCCUGGCUCCUCCA